rnacentral:tRNA from 1 species
AAAAACUUAGGAUAAAUAAACCAAAAGCCUUCAAAGCUUGAAAUAAGGGUGCAAUCCCCCUAGUUUUU